rnacentral:tRNA from 1 species
GGGGCUAUAGCUCAGCUGGGAGAGCGCUUGAAUGGCAUUCAAGAGGUCGUCGGUUCGAUCCCGUCUAGCUCCA